rnacentral:lncRNA from 1 species
GUUUGAGUCUUUUGUAGACGAAACACGCGUCUUACGUAUUAGUCUGGUACCUAAUUAUUAUUAACAUGUCGUGUUAUUCUAUUGUAUUUUUAAUUUGUGUAUUUCUCUAUCCUGAAUGAUUUUUUUCAUUUAUUCCUAUCGUGUGACGUAGUAGUUUUAGUGUUAUAAUUAACAUUGCCAUGAAAGCGGGAGGUUUAGCUAGCCACAAAACCAUGGUUUAACCCACUAUUUAUUUCUUAAAAUGUCCUGUAUCAAGUGAGGAAAAUGGCAAUUGUUAUCUUAUAGCACUUUAUUAUUUCUGUUGUUCUUAUAUUUGAUGUGUUUCUCUCAGUUUUAUUUUGUAACCCGGA